rnacentral:siRNA from 1 species
AUUAUUUUAGAUUACCAAAGUUGG